rnacentral:rRNA from 1 species
UACGAAGGGGGCUAGCGUUGCUCGGAAUCACUGGGCGUAAAGCGCACGUAGGCGGAUUGCUAAGUCAGGGGUGAAAUCCUGGAGCUCAACUCCAGAACUGCCUUUGAUACUGGCGGUCUCGAGUCCGGAAGAGGAGAGUGGAAUUCCUGGUGUAGCGGUGAAAUGCGCAGAUAUCAGGAAGAACACCUAUGGCGAAGGCAGCUCUCUGGGACGGUACUGACGGCUGAGGCGCGAAAGCGUGGGGAGCAAACAGG